GACUCAGUAGCUUAAUUUGGAAAAGCACUAGUCUAGCGUAUAAGGGUCGUGCGUUCAAAUCUCACCUGAGCUG
rnacentral:tRNA from 1 species